GAUGAACGCUGGCGGCGUGCCUAAUACAUGCAAGUCGAGCGAACAGACGAGGAGCUUGCUCCUCUGACGUUAGCGGCGGACGGGUGAGUAACACGUGGAUAACCUACCUAUAAGACUGGGAUAACUUCGGGAAACCGGAGCUAAUACCGGAUAACAUGUUGAACCGCAUGGUUCAACAGUGAAAGACGGUCUUGCUGUCACUUAUAGAUGGAUCCGCGCCGCAUAAGCUAGUUGGUAAGGUAACGGCUUACCAAGGCAACGAUGCGUAGCCGACCUGAGAGGGUGAUCGGCCACACUGGAACUGAGACACGGUCCAGACUCCUACGGGAGGCAGCAGUAGGGAAUCUUCCGCAAAGGGCGAAAGCCUGACGGAGCAACGCCGCGUGAGUGAAGAAGGUCUUCGGAUCGUAAAACUCUGUUAUUAGGGAAGAACAAAUGUGUAAGUAACUAUGCACGUCUUGACGGUACCUAAUCAGAAAGCCACGGCUAACUACGUG
rnacentral:rRNA from 1 species